rnacentral:sRNA from 1 species
GGAUCAAGAUGGCGGACUUUGAUUCGCCUCCGAAGCUGUCAGGGGUGCAGCCGCCGUCUGAGGGGGUGGGAGGUGGCCGCUGCUCCGAAAUCUCCGCUGAGCUCAUUCGCUCCCUGACAGAGCUGCAGGAGCUGGAGACUGUAUACGAACGGCUCUGCGGCGAGGAGUCCUAACCUGCAGCUGAUUGAGGGAGAUGCAAAGCAGCUGGCUGGAAUGAUCACCUUUACCUGCAACCUGGCUGAGAAUGUGUCCAGCAAAGUUCGUCAGCUUGACCUGGCCAAGAACCGCCUCUAUCAGGCCAUUCAGAGAGCUGAUGACAUCUUGGACCUGAAGUUCUGCAUGGAUGGAGUUCAGACUGCUUUGAGGAAUGAAGAUUAUGAGCAGGCUGCAGCCCAUAUUCAUCGCUACUUGUGCCUGGACAAGUCAGUCAUUGAGCUCAGCCGACAGGGCAAAGAGGGGAGCAUGAUUGAUGCCAACCUGAAAUUGCUGCAGGAAGCUGAGCAACGUCUCAAAGCCAUUGUGGCAGAGAAGUUUGCCGUUGCCACCAAGGAAGGUGAUCUGCCCCAGGUGGAGCGCUUCUUCAAGAUUUUCCCACUGCUGGGUUUGCAUGAGGAGGGAUUAAGAAAGUUCUCAGAGUACCUUUGCAAGCAGGUGGCCAGUAAAGCUGAGGAGAAUCUGCUCAUGGUGCUGGGGACAGACAUGAGUGAUCGGAGAGCUGCAGUCAUCUUUGCAGAUACACUUACUCUUCUGUUUGAAGGCAUUGCCCGCAUUGUGGAGACCCACCAGCCAAUAGUGGAGACCUAUUAUGGGCCAGGGAGACUCUAUACCCUGAUCAAAUAUCUGCAGGUGGAAUGUGACAGACAGGUGGAGAAGGUGGUAGACAAGUUCAUCAAGCAAAGGGACUACCACCAGCAGGUAAGCAGGGGAAGCUACAGGUGGGGUUUGGUAGCAGCUUUAGCCAGGAACACUGAGUAGAAUAAAUUGGAGGGUUUGAAAAAGUGAAAAAAAAGGUGCAGACAGGAGAAAAAUAAAUGCUAAGCGCACACUGGCCUGCAUCUUGCCCAUUGCUAGCUUACUUUGGACUUGAGGUGUUGUCGAGAUGAUGAUGGCCUCAGUUCAAGACCAAAACAGAAAUAAAAAGAGCUUCCUGAAAAGAACACAGCAGAAGUAGUAGACCAGUUCUCUAUCACAAAAUGUGCAACAGUGCCCUCUGAUGAUACAAUGACAAUUCUGUUUCUUGAGGUCCUAUUAAGUGUCCAAGUAAUUGUCUCCAAUUUCCGCUUCAUUCCUAAGAUGUUAAAGAUAACGUUUGCUUUUUCAGAACUUUAUUUUUUCCUUCUUUCGAGCAGAGAAAGUAAAAGUACGACAUAGAAAUAGGAGUGGCCUCAUACAAUUGUAUUACUAGAACUCCAGACUAGGAGACUAUAAACAGUAGUCUAUUGGAACACCAUUAGCAUGACUUUUAAGCACAGUAAUAGAGGUGAGUAUUAUUAGCAUCCAACCCAAAAACAAAUCUUUGGCCUGUCAUCCUGAAAGCCCACUGCUGGCUUGAAGGGAAGGUAAACCUGGUAAGCAAACUAAACCUAAAUGUUCUUGUAUGCCAAAAGUUUGGAGUGACCAGCAAGAGGCCAAUAGAUGUGGGGGUGGGGAAAAAUAUUCUCAUUCCUGUGGUAUGUUGCAGUUCCGGCAUGUUCAGAACAACUUGAUGAGAAAUUCUACAACAGAAAAAAUCGAACCAAGAGAACUGGACCCCAUCCUGACUGAGGUCACCCUGAUGAAUGCCCGCAGUGAGCUAUACUUACGCUUCCUCAAGAAGAGGAUUAGCUCUGAUUUUGAGGUGGGAGACUCCAUGGCCUCAGAAGAAGUAAAGCAAGAGCACCAGAAGUGUCUGGACAAACUCCUCAAUAACUGCCUUUUGAGCUGUACCAUGCAGGAGCUAAUUGGCUUAUAUGUUACCAUGGAGGAGUACUUCAUGAGGGAGACUGUCAAUAAGGCUGUGGCUCUGGACACCUAUGAGAAGGGCCAGUUGACAUCCAGCAUGGUGGAUGAUGUCUUCUACAUUGUUAAGAAGUGCAUUGGGCGGGCUCUGUCCAGCUCCAGCAUUGACUGUCUCUGUGCCAUGAUCAACCUUGCCACCACAGAGCUGGAGUCUGACUUCAGGGAUGUUCUGUGUAAUAAGCUUCGGAUGGGCUUUCCGGCCACCACCUUCCAGGACAUCCAGCGUGGGGUGACAAGUGCCGUGAACAUCAUGCACAGCAGCCUCCAGCAAGGCAAAUUUGACACAAAAGGCAUCGAGAGUACUGACGAGGCGAAGAUGUCCUUCCUGGUGACUCUGAACAACGUGGAAGUCUGCAGUGAAAACAUCUCCACUCUGAAGAAGACACUGGAGAGUGACUGCACCAAGCUCUUCAGCCAGGGCAUUGGAGGGGAGCAGGCCCAGGCCAAGUUUGACAGCUGCCUUUCUGACUUGGCCGCCGUGUCCAACAAAUUCCGAGAUCUCUUGCAGGAAGGGCUGACGGAGCUCAACAGCACAGCCAUCAAGCCACAAGUGCAGCCUUGGAUCAACAGCUUUUUCUCCGUCUCCCACAACAUCGAGGAGGAAGAAUUCAAUGACUAUGAGGCCAACGACCCUUGGGUACAACAGUUCAUCCUCAACCUGGAGCAGCAAAUGGCAGAGUUCAAGGCCAGCCUGUCCCCGGUCAUCUACGACAGCCUAACCGGGCUCAUGACCAGCCUUGUUGCCGUCGAGUUGGAGAAAGUGGUGCUGAAAUCCACCUUUAACCGGCUGGGCGGUCUGCAGUUUGACAAAGAGCUGAGGUCACUCAUUGCCUACCUUACCACGGUGACCACCUGGACCAUCCGAGACAAGUUUGCCCGGCUCUCCCAGAUGGCCACCAUCCUCAAUCUGGAGCGGGUGACCGAGAUCCUCGAUUACUGGGGACCCAAUUCCGGCCCGUUGACGUGGCGCCUCACCCCUGCUGAGGUGCGCCAGGUGCUGGCCCUGCGGAUAGACUUCCGCAGUGAAGAUAUCAAGAGGCUGCGCCUGUAGCUGCCUGGAUGAGCACACCUGGCUCAUCACACUUCCAGGCCUGUUCCCUAAGGGACCCCAGCCAAGGAGCCGAGCGAGGCUGUCUGGUUUGGGGGAGAUCUGACAGCCCAGACCUUUCUACGGCUGGCAGCAGAGAAACAAGGUCUGGACCCACUCCAUGCUCUGCCCUCAUACCUGGCCAGGUGAUGCUCUGGGGGCAGUGUCUCCCCACCGAGAGAAGCGGGCUCCCAAUGAGGUGGGAAAGCCAUGGCAGGCAGCGGGCAGCCCAGGCCAGCUUUCUGCAUGGAUGGUCAGUCUCUUGCCCUCAAACACUGCAGCAAACAAGCUACCCCUGCCAGCCCCAGACAACUUGGGUACAACUGGGGACCUAGCAGUUAGGCUUGACUUUGAGGAGAGGCUGUGAUGUUUAUGAUCCCUGAAUAAAGCUACUCCUCGGAGA